rnacentral:rRNA from 1 species
UGGGGAAUUUUGGACAAUGGGCGAAAGCCUGAUCCAGCAAUGCCGCGUGUGUGAAGAAGGCCUUCGGGUUGUAAAGCACUUUUGUCCGGAAAGAAAUCCUUGGCUCUAAUACAGUCGGGGGAUGACGGUACCGGAAGAAUAAGCACCGGCUAACUACGUGCCAGCAGCCGCGGUAAUACGUAGGGUGCAAGCGUUAAUCGGAAUUACUGGGCGUAAAGCGUGCGCAGGCGGUUUGCUAAGACCGAUGUGAAAUCCCCGGGCUCAACCUGGGAACUGCAUUGGUGACUGGCAGGCUAGAGUAUGGCAGAGGGGGGUAGAAUUCCACGUGUAGCAGUGAAAUGCGUAGAGAUGUGGAGGAAUACCGAUGGCGAAGGCAGCCCCCUGGGCCAAUACUGACGCUCAUGCACGAAAGCGUGGGGAGCAAAACAGGAUUAGAUACCCUGGUAGUCCACGCCCUAAACGAUGUCAACUAGUUGUGGGGAUUCAUUCCUUAGUAACGUAGCUAACGCGUGAAGUUGACCGCCUGGGGAGUACGGUCGCAAGAUUAAAACUCAAAUGAAUUGACGGGGUCAUAGCUGUUUCCU